rnacentral:lncRNA from 1 species
GGUUAAUCAGGGCCAAUGAGAUGGCUCAGUUGGUAAAGGAGCAUGGUGCACAAGCCUCACAACUUGGUUUCAGACCCCAGAAACCAUGUAUAGGUGAAAACAGGAGAGUGACUCCUCCUGAAAGACGCCCUGUGAUUUCCAAUCCCCCCCCACCCCUCUGUAUCUGCUUCCUCCUACCCUCCCUCUUCCAAAUCUCACAAAUUAAAAAAUAUUCAUUGCUUCAUUUAAAAAAAAAAGGAUUUUUUUUCAAAAGAACGAGUUUGUUAAUUUGUCCUUGGGUGACAAAUAUUUUAAGGUCUCCUUGGCAUCUUCAGAACCAGGUGAUUCUCCAACUUUCUCCUCUCCUAUUCUUUAUCUUAAGAACAGUAGUAACUUGUUUUGAGAUCAUCUUUAGAGAGAGAAGAAGACACUGCAAAGGGUAGCCGAAGCUGGAAAAGCAGCAUUUAGCAAAAGUCUGUUUGCAGUCAAUAAAUCCAUCAUAAGCCUACAUAAUAAAGGCUUUGAAAUGUCUGGAACC